UGUGCAAAGAAGGAAAACAUUUGGGACUGUGAGAUGCUUAGUGGGAGAUUGAACAAUUGACUGUUCAUUGCUUCCCUGUUUUCUUCGUAACAAAGUCUGAGUUAGUGUCGCGUGGUUAUGUCAUUAUACUGAACUACUAUCCGACUGAGGAGAACGAGCAGAGUAAGCUGGACCAGAGAGCAAAGCAUCACCAUGCCGAAGCGAGGCUGCAACAGAGCCUGGGACACGUUCCCUCCAGUGGCCAGGGAUUUGAAAUGCCGGCUGUUAUAGACCAGUUGAACCUGCUCUAAAUCCAAGGUCUCCAAAACCUCCUGACUGGGCCGGUCCACAACCUGCAGCUUCUCAUGGCUGUCUACUAGGACCAGAGUGCGAUUGUUUAUCCACUGUAGAAACACAGAAAUGGGACAAGAUUAAGUCACGCACGAUGCACUACAUCAAACAAUUUAUUUUUUUAUUCACACAUAAGCCAUAUCUUUAUCAUUGUCACUGUCAGGUACUUACACUUAAGCUUAUGAUGUCACAAACGAGGUUGAGUUGUCUUUGUUUGAUGACGUGGAUGGUACCCGUGUCCUCUUUCUUUACCUAAAGUUUUUUUAAAACAGAAGUGAAAGAAGUACCGGUAUUUCCAAACACAACAGACAUCUGAGCUCACUGAUAACCCUCUCACCAUACACUGUUGCCAGUUUAGCAUGUAGGCAUAUUAAAUUAAAAACCAGUAUAACUGUACUUUUGCUAAAUGUUGCUUAGAGCUGUGCUCAUGGUGGGUUACAUAGGGUCUUUGUAAAUAAUAUAAUAAAGAUUAAGGUAAGACCUACUCUUUUUGAAACUUGUCUUGAGAUAACAUUUGUUAAGAAUUGGCGUUAUACAAAUAAAGAUUGAUCGAUUAACA